CUACGGGUGGCUCCAGUGAGGAAUAUUGGUCAAUGGGCGAAAGCCUGAACCAGCCAUGCCGCGUGAAGGAUGACGGCCCUAUGGGUUGUAAACUUCUUUUGUAAGGGAAGAAACCACUCUACGUGUAGAGUUCUGACGGUACCUUACGAAUAAGCAUCGGCUAACUCCGUGCCAGCAGCCGCGGUAAUACGGAGGAUGCAAGCGUUAUCCGGAUUUAUUGGGUUUAAAGGGUGCGUAGGCGGAAAAUUAAGUCAGUGAUGAAAUCCUGCAGCUUAACUGUAGAACUGUUAUUGAUACUGGUUUUCUUGAAUGUAGUUGAGGUAGGCGGAAUGAGUAAUGUAGCGGUGAAAUGCUUAGAUAUUACUCAGAACACCGAUUGCGAAGGCAGCUUACUAAGCUACGAUUGACGCUGAGGCACGAAAGCGUGGGGAGCGAACAGGAUUAGAUACCCUAGUAGUC
rnacentral:rRNA from 1 species